UUUUAAUAAAUGCAAAAAAAAAUCGUGGCUAUGUUAUCAACAAAAAAAUAUAUAUGCGUGGUCAUUCAAGGCGUGCGACCGCACGCGUCUCCUGAGAAGGCCUGCAUAGGGCACCAAGUUGUCUGUAUUCAAACAGUUGACACAAAUGUUGUUGCGAUCUCAAUUUCCGUUUUUAAACAGUUAACGGGUAUCAAGCAACUUUGGAUAGAAUUUGGAGUUGGAAAACUUAAACGAUGGCUUCCAAUACACUAUUACGCACAAAAGAUAGGUGAAAAAGCAGAAGCUGUUUCAUUGUGGUUUGCAUUCACUGGCUGUGAUACCGUGUCAUCCUUUGCAGGACGAGGAAAAAACUUGCAUGGAAUCUCUGGAACAAUGGAGAUGAAGAAAUUAUUAGUGCAUUUUGCAGCUUGUCAUCUCCAAGCACUAGAGUUAUUUCACCUGAUACAUUUCUAAAGUUUGAGCGCUACGUUAUUCUACUUUAUGAUAAAUAAGUUCCACUACUGACCUCACCAUAUGCUGAAAAAUGCUGUUCACUAAAAAUUCACGACAGAGUGAAAGGUUACCACCUACAAAAGAUGCACUCUUUCAGCAUUUAAAAAGAGCUGUGUUUCAAGGAAGUAUUAUAUGGGGACAAUCCUAGGUGCCACAGCAGAUUUUACCCGAAGCUACUUAAUGGGGUUGGAAAAAAACAAAUAACGCAAUGACACCUUUGUGGAUGACUCUACCUGAGGCAUCAAAAUCAUGCAUCGAGUUAAUAAAAUGUAGAUGCAAGAAAAGUUGCGGAACACAAUACAAAUGCAAAUGUUCAGGAUUAUCCUGUACAGACCUAUGCGAGUGUUCUGGUCAGUGUUUUGAAUAAAAUGAACAAACCUCAUUUUUGUUAACAAGUUUUAAAAAAAAUUAGUUCCAUUACUCUGAAAUAUAUAAAUAAAACUUUUUUUAUGCUUUUAAUCAUAUUUUAAUUAGUAAUGUGGUAUAGUUGUUUAUUGUUUCUUAACAUUCUGCUUAAUGCAACCUUAUAUAAUUGGUUCAGAAGAUUUUAUAGUUUUACAGUCAACUCAGUUGGGGGUCGCCCCAGGACCAAAAAAAUAUUUUCAGAAUGGGGUCUUUUUUUUUUUGUAUUCUUUUAAUUCAUAGACAACUUCCUGAAAGUUUCAAGCUGGUAUCACAAUUUGAACUCUUUCGCUAAAUAUUUACUUUUAUUCCCCCCACUAAAAGGUUUUUAUGGUUUUUAAACACCAUAAUAUCUGUACCCAGAUGGCACAACUCAGAAAAUAGUUACGCUUGGUUUCUGUUGCGUUUUAAAACCUUCAAAAGCAAAAAGAAUAACACGUAUCCUAAAUGGUUUUUAUUCCAUGAAAUUAACUAUU